UGGGCAAGAGCAUGAUUUAUGCGGUUAGUUUCGGCCUAACAGAAUCUAGAAAGAUUGGUCAA
rnacentral:tRNA from 1 species